GAUACCCUACUACACUAAAAGGUAAUUUAGUAAGCCUAAAUAUUUAUAGGUAUGUUCUUAAAACUUGAAGAAUUUGGCGGUGAUUUAGUCUUGUCAGAGGAAUUUGUUUUUUAAUCGAUAAACCACGUAGAAUCUUGCUCAUUUUUGUUUUCAGUUUAUAUACCAUCAUUAGCAGAUAAUCUUAAAGAAAGAUAAUUAUUAAGUCUUAUAGAUAAUUAAAAUUAGAUCAAGGUGUAGCUAAUAAAUGAGUUAAAAUGAAUUACAAUGAAAUUUAUUUAUACGGAUCAGUUAAUGAAAUAUUAGUAAUGAAGGUGGAUUUGAUUGUAAUGGAAGUUUAAUAAGCUUAAAAGAUAUAAGUUCUAAAUCAUGUACAU
rnacentral:rRNA from 1 species